UGAGGACACACUAUGGUGUGGACUUUGGUGACUGUCGGCUCAACGUCUCUGCAGUGAGAGAUCAACCAGAACCUGAGAGACCAAACGGGCACAUUUGGGGAAUAUUCGCCCUCUACAGUGUAGCAGGACUGUCAUUUGCAGUUAUGCAUGUUCUUUUUCAAUAUUUCGCGAAAUGUCUGUCUGGUGAAAAAGAUUCUGUCUCAGACUCCAGUCAAGAAACGGAGACUAGUCAGAUCUCAGUAGAAAUAGAAGAAAGAGUUUGAUCAACAUGUUAAUGAGUCAUAAAGACAGACAACAUAAGAACAUCAGACCUCAGCACCAGUCAUGACUGCAUCCUCCAGCACCUGGACUCCCUAGAAAACCUCCACCAGGAUCCUGUUUGUGGACUCAACACCAUCAUCCUGGUUCUGCUGAUGCUGAUGACUCCACCUGCAGCUGGACCACAGAACAUCCAUCUGCACUGAGAACAUGAACAAUUCAUGUCUUUUAUAUAUGUAUUUAUAUGUGUAUAUAUGUAUAAAAGGGUUUAUAUUUGAUACAUUUGUGCUUUUUAAACUGCCUGUAAAACCAAAGUGAAAAUCUGAUCUUUGUGUAAAUCAUUCUGACUCUGUGAAGAAGUUUAUAACUUUGCUCUGAGACAUGAAAUGUGACUGAAUAUAAACCUUUCGAUUCC